AUUGAACGCUGGCGGCAGGCCUAACACACGCAAGUCGAGCGGAUGAAGGGAGCUUGCUCCUGGAUUCAGCGGCGGACGGGUGAGUAAUGCCUAGGAAUCUGCCUGGUAGUGGGGGAUAACGUCCGGAAACGGGCGCUAAUACCGCAUACGUCCUGAGGGAGAAAGUGGGGGAUCUUCGGACCUCACGCUAUCAGAUGAGCCUAGGUCGGAUUAGCUAGUUGGUGGGGUAAAGGCCUACCAAGGCGACGAUCCGUAACUGGUCUGAGAGGAUGAUCAGUCACACUGGAACCGAGACACGGUCCAGACUCCUACGGGAGGCAGCAGUGGGGAAUAUUGGACAAUGGGCGAAAGCCUGAUCCAGCCAUGCCGCGUGUGUGAAGAAGGUCUUCGGAUUGUAAAGCACUUUAAGUUGGGAGGAAGGGCAGUAAGUUAAUACCUUGCUGUUUUGACGUUACCAACAGAAUAAGCACCGGCUAACUUCGUG
rnacentral:rRNA from 1 species